UACGGAGGGUGCAAGCGUUAUCCGGAUUCACUGGGUUUAAAGGGUGCGUAGGUGGGCUUGUAAGUCAGUGGUGAAAUCUCCGAGCUUAACUUGGAAACUGCCAUUGAUACUAUAAGUCUUGAAUAUUGUGGAGGUCAGCGGAAUAUGUCAUGUAGCGGUGAAAUGCUUAGAUAUGACAUAGAACACCAAUUGCGAAGGCAGCUGGCUACGCAUAUAUUGACACUGAGGCACGAAAGCGUGGGGGAUCAAACAGG
rnacentral:rRNA from 1 species